rnacentral:lncRNA from 1 species
GUGUUGAACAUGGCCUUUAUGUCAAUUCUGGUCAUCCAAGUGGCCAUUCACUAACCCAGAGAGUAAUGGUAUCAUUUGUAUAACUCUUUUGGGUCUCCCUAUCAAAUGAGGGUAUGAGAAGAUCCUCAUCUAUGGGGAUGAUAUCUACAUUGGGGAUUAAGGUGGCAGGGCACAUAGGCCCAUCCAAUUGGUGGGCAGGAAGUCAUAGGGCAUCUUGGCCCCACAAAGACCAUCCUUGUGGGAAUAUAGUGCUGCAUAUUGGGCUGGGAUGUGUUGAAAUCACUGUUCAGCAAGCCAGGAAGGAACUUUUUUGUAAGCUUUUUUUCAACUCUCUCUUUAAUGGACGCCAGGUCCUCACUAUCUUUUUGAGGAGUUCCUGAGACAGGGGCUUGAGUCAGACACACCCCGGUUUUCUCCAUGCUGCCAGCCUUAUGGCUUGAGCUUGAUCCCAAUGCAGAUCAGGAAUGGCAGCCUGAUGAAUUCCAGUACUGAAGAGAAUUAUUCAGCAGUGCCUGAAAGCAACAGAAGGUGAAAGGGAAUAGAGGCAGAGUGGCCAUAGGUACAGGGUGAAAUAGAAGCAUAUGGGAGCUUCAGAGCCAUUAACUCCUUACUACCUUAAGAGGUCAAAAUGGCCACACCUGUGAGCGUAUCUGAGAACCUUCUGAGAAAAAGAAAUGACUAGCACCUGCCCCCUAGCCAUGGGUAGAGGAUUUGUGCCUACUCCCACGUGUGUACACCUAAUCACAGCCCAAACGCUUAGGAGAAAAGGUAGGGGUUGCCUCUGAAAAGUGAGUUUGCUCCUUAGGAUAUGAUUCCAAGAAGAUAUUUUGAUGGCAAGAAACAGUCUCUUGUAUACCUGGGCUUCCCAUGGGGACCAGUGGUUGAGCGAUUGCCACUGGGGUUAACACAGGAAAGAGAUUGGUUAUAUACCCCCUCAGAGGUGCCAUCCCCUGAUAGGGUUUCAGUAUGGAGUAACUUGAAAAGGAUUAGUAGCAGGAUAUUGGGAGUAUGGCUCCUUGGCAGGCCAGUGUGGGCUCCCGAAAGGGUUUAGGGGUGGAUAACGGGGCUCAGGUUGGCAUAAGGUACUGGGGUUUGGUUUUAAUAAGAACUGUCCCAUAAUUUAUGGGUGUAAACUCACCUGAAGAUCGACUGGCUUGCCUGUGUUCUUCCCUUAGAGAGAGACAUGUCCCUGUUCUGGUACCACUCUGCCAGGUCCCGUGCAGUUGGAACUAUUGAAAAGGC